CCAUCAGAGCCUGCCCUACCUGCAGGACCCUCAGGCCAACGUGCGCCUGGCGGCCGUCAGGUUCAUUGGACUCAUCACACGGCGCCUGAGGGAGCAGACCACAGACAGUCAGGCUGACAUCCUGAGCGCGCUUCAGCCCUUGGAGAAAGAUUGGGACAUCUCUGUCAG